GACGAACGCUGGCGGCGUGCUUAACACAUGCAAGUCGAACGGAAAGGCCCUGCUUUUGUGGGGUGCUCGAGUGGCGAACGGGUGAGUAACACGUGAGUAACCUGCCCUUGACUUUGGGAUAACUUCAGGAAACUGGGGCUAAUACCGGAUAGGAGCUCCUGCUGCAUGGUGGGGGUUGGAAAGUUUCGGCGGUUGGGGAUGGACUCGCGGCUUAUCAGCUUGUUGGUGGGGUAGCGGCUUACCAAGGCUUUGACGGGUAGCCGGCCUGAGAGGGUGACCGGCCACAUUGGGACUGAGAUACGGCCCAGACUCCUGCGGGAGGCAGCAGUGGGGAAUAUUGCACAAUGGGCGGAAGCCUGAUGCAGCAACGCCGCGUGCGGGAUGACGGCCUUCGGGUUGUAAACCGCUUUCGCCUGUGACGAAGCGUGAGUGACGGUAAUGGGUAAAGAAGCACCGGCUAACUACGUG
rnacentral:rRNA from 1 species